GAUGAACGCUGGCGGCGUGCCUAAUACAUGCAAGUCGAGCGAACAGACGAGGAGCUUGCUCCUCUGACGUUAGCGGCGGACGGGUGAGUAACACGUGUAUAACCUACCUAUAAGACUGGUAUAACUUCGGGAAACCGGAGCUAAUACCGGAUAAUAUAUUGAACCGCAUGGUUCAAUAGUGAAAGACGGUUUUGCUGUCACUUAUAGAUGGAUCCGCGCCGUAUUAGCUAGUUGGUAAGGUAACGGCUUACCAAGGCAACGAUGCGUAGACGACCUGAGAGGGUGAUAGGCCACACUGGAACGGGGACACGGUCCAGACUCCUACGGGAGGCAGCAGUAGGGAAUCUUCCGCAAUGGGCGAAAGCUUGACGGAGCAACGCCGCGUGAGUGAUGAAGGUGUUCGGAUCGUAAAACUCUGUUAUUAGGGAAGAACAAAUGUGUAAGUAACUAUGCACGUCUUGACGGUACCUAAUCAGAAAGCCACGGCUAACUACGUG
rnacentral:rRNA from 1 species